rnacentral:guide_RNA from 1 species
AUAUAUACCGAAGGGGAUCAGUUCCCCGAAGCUCGUAUAGGGCUGUGUAAGAUUGUAU